GACGAACGCUGGCGGCGUGCCUAAUACAUGCAAGUGGGACGCAAGGGAACACACUGUGCUUGCACACCGUGUUUUCUUGAGUCGCGAACGGGUGAGUAACGCGUAGGUAACCUGCCUAUUAGCGGGGGAUAACUAUUGGAAACGAUAGCUAAUACCGCAUAAUAUUAAUUAUUGCAUGAUAAUUGAUUGAAAGAUGCAAGCGCAUCACUAGUAGAUGGACCUGCGUUGUAUUAGCUAGUUGGUAAGGUAAGAGCUUACCAAGGCGACGAUACAUAGCCGACCUGAGAGGGUGAUCGGCCACACUGGGACUGAGACACGGCCCAGACUCCUACGGGAGGCAGCAGUAGGGAAUCUUCGGCAAUGGACGAAAGUCUGACCGAGCAACGCCGCGUGAGUGAAGAAGGUUUUCGGAUCGUAAAGCAUCUGUUGUAAGUCAAGA
rnacentral:rRNA from 1 species